rnacentral:miRNA from 1 species
CAAUGUUUCCACAGUGCAUCC